GGCGAACGCUGGCGGCGUGCCUAAUACAUGCAAGUCGAACGCUGAAGGAGGAGCUUGCUUCUCUGGAUGAGUUGCGAACGGGUGAGUAACGCGUAGGUAACCUGCCUGGUAGCGGGGGAUAACUAUUGGAAACGAUAGCUAAUACCGCAUAAGAGUAGAUGUUGCAUGACAUUUGCUUAAAAGGUGCAAUUGCAUCACUACCAGAUGGACCUGCGUUGUAUUAGCUAGUUGGUGGGGUAACGGCUCACCAAGGCGACGAUACAUAGCCGACCUGAGAGGGUGAUCGGCCACACUGGGACUGAGACACGGCCCAGACUCCUACGGGAGGCAGCAGUAGGGAAUCUUCGGCAAUGGACGGAAGUCUGACCGAGCAACGCCGCGUGAGUGAAGAAGGUUUUCGGAUCGUAAAGCUCUGUUGUAAGAGAAGAACGAGUGUGGGAGUGGAAAGGUCACACUGUGACGGUAUCUUACCAGAAAGGGACGGCUAACUACGUGC
rnacentral:rRNA from 1 species